CGCAUCUGUGCAUGCAGCAUAUCAAUAAGCGGAGGAAAAGAAACUAACAAGGAUUCCCCUAGUAACGGCGAGUGAAGCGGGAAGAGCUCAAAUUUGAAAUCUUCAAGGUUUUACCUUGACGAAUUGUAGUUUAAAGAAGUGUUUUCUGCUGAAGUUUUGGUAAAAGUUCUUUGGAAUAGGACAUCAUAGAGGGUGAGAAUCCCGUAUUUGACCAUUUACUUUCAGCUUUGUGAUACACUUUCAAAGAGUCGGAUUGUUUGGGAAUGCAGUCCAAAAUGGGUGGUAAAUUUCAUCUAAAGCUAAAUAUUGGCGAGAGACCGAUAGCGAACAAGUACCGUGAGGGAAAGAUGAAAAGAACUUUGAAAAGAGAGUUAAACAGUACGUGAAAUUGUCAAAAGGGAAGCGUUUGACACCAGUGUUGUUUUCUCGAAAAUCAAUUAAAAAGAGUUAGAUUUUGUUGUGUAUUGACCUUAACAGCUUGCAUUUCAAUUUUCUUGCUUUUUUUAAUGCACUUUUCGUUUAACAAGUCAACAUCAGUUUCUUUUGUUGUAAAAGGGUCAUUGGAAGGUGGCUUUCUUUCCGGAGAAAGUGUUUAUAGCCUUUGACUCCUGCAAUCGGAGAGACUGAGGUCUGCAGCGCAGACUCUUCGGGGUUAGAUACAUUUGUGCUAAGUUAUAGCUUUUUAUAGACAACUUGUUGACUAUAAUUAGUCUUGUAGCUUACUCGCUUAUGCUAUUUUACCUACGCUUAGGAUGUUGAUAGUCACAGCGUGUAC
rnacentral:rRNA from 1 species